rnacentral:rRNA from 1 species
GGUGCAGUAGGUUGGUCAUGCCACUGGUAUGUACCGGUCUCACUGAUUCCUCCUUCCUGAUGAACUGUAAUGCCAUUAAUUUGGUGUUGCAGGGAAUCUGGACUGUUACUUUGAAAAAUUAGAGUGUUUAAAGCAGGCUAACGCCUGAAUACAUUAGCAUGGAAUAAUGAAAUAGGACGUUCGAUCCUAUUUUGUUGGUUUCUAGGAUUGACGUAAUGAUUAAUAGGGAUAGUUGGGC